rnacentral:rRNA from 1 species
CCUACGGGAGGCAGCAGUAGGGAAUAUUGCACAAUGGGGGAAACCCUGAAGCAGCAACGCCGCGUGGAGGAUGAAGGUUUUCGGAUUGUAAACUCCUUUUGGUAGAGAAGAUAAUGACGGUAUCUUACGAAUAAGCACCGGCUAACGCCGUGCCAGCAGCCGAGGUAAUACGGAGGGUGCAAGCGUUACUCGGAACCACGGGGUGUAAAGUACGCGUAGGCGGGAGAGCAGGUCAGAUGUGAAAUCCUAUGGCUUAACCAUAGAACUGCAUUUGAAACUGUUAUUCUAGAGUAUGGGAGAGGUAGGUGGAAUUCUUGGUGUAGGGGUAGAAUCCGUAGAGAUCAAGAGGAAUACUCAUUGCGAAGGCGACCUGCUAGAACAUAACUGACGCUGAUGCGCGAAAGCGUGGGGAGCAAACAGGAUUAGAUACCCCGGUAGUC